rnacentral:rRNA from 1 species
CACGUAGGGGGCGAGCGUUGUCCGGAUUUAUUGGGCGUAAAGAGCUCGUAGGCGGCUCGGUAAGUCGGGUGUGAAAACUCUAGGCUCAACCUAGAGACGCCACCUGAUACUGCUGUGGCUAGAGUCCGGUAGGGGAGCAUGGAAUUCCUGGUGUAGCGGUGAAAUGCGCAGAUAUCAGGAGGAACACCAGUGGCGAAGGCGGUGCUCUGGGCCGGUACUGACGCUGGAGGAGCGAAAGCGUGGGGAGCAAACAGG